CCCAGUUGAGAAGUCAGAAGCAUCAACUUGGACUACAAAGGGGCGUUCAGGAUCAGGGUGCUGUAAAAUAGGCUCAGCAGUGAAGAGGGUUUUUAACCUCUCAAAUGCUGUCUGGCAUUCAGGUGUCCAAUUCAGCACUGCCCCAGGAUUCUUCACCUUGCGUGUCUCCCCCAAACCCUUGGUGCAUAGCAAGUCAGUGAGUGGUAGAGCAAUCUCAGCAAACCCCUGGAUAAAGUGGCGAUAAUAGUUACUGAACCCCAGAAAACUUGGUAGUUGCUGCCGGGUGCGGGGGCAUUCCCAAUUUAAAAUUGCCUGAAUUUUUUCAGGGUCCAUCUCAAUGCCCUUGUCAGAUACUCUAUAGCCUAGAUAGUCAAGACGUGCUUUGUGAAAUUCACAUUUAGAAAGCUUUGCAUAGAGUUUAGCAUCUCUAAGCUUGCUUAACACCUGUUUGAGGAGGCGUUUGUGCUCCUCCUCGGUUUCAGUGUAAAUGAGAACAUUGGAACAGUGAACAUGACACAAACAUGGCUGUAUUUCUUAAUGAGGAGCUUUUUCCUCUCUGUUGUAGGAAAGACUGGCUGCAAUUCAGGGUGCUCUUUGCCUUUGGGAAGGAAUUAAUGUAACCUUGCACAAAUAAUAAGGUUCUUUGUGGACUGUCCGCCCAUCUUUGUGGACUGUAAGGAUGGCAAAGCCUGAUGGUACAAUAAAGGAAAACUCUAUGGGAGCUCUUUGAUGCUGCUUGUUUCCUUUGGAGAAUAUGGCAGGGCAGUAUGGUGGUAGACCUUAGCGGACCUUCAGUCAAGGAACCAGCAACACAUCCUUUCCCCCUAGUUUUUCUGGUCAGGAAAGGUAGGAGAUCUUGAACAGAAAGGAGUCCAAUUUUUGCCUUGGCUUGAAAGCUGAGUGGAAAUUAUGACCCUUAUUGCACUUGCCACAAUGUGAGCAAAUGACAUGCAAAAGAUACGGGAUUGCUUUUUUUCUUCCAUCUUUCCUCCUCUCUCUACUAAUCCAAUGUGUGGUAUAUAGAUUGUGGGCUGGAAGCUACUUGGGGAAGGAGUUAAAAGCAGAGGCAGGGAAAGGAUAGACCCCAGUUCUAUCCUUGGCUCUGUACUUUAAGAUGAACCUUGCCAUCUCCUCUUAAAAUAAAGAAUAGCUUUACAUGUUGGAGAAAACAGAUAAUGUAGUGGUGCAAGAUUAUUUUUUUAUACACCACUAUUCAUUAAGUCCCAAAAUGAAGAUUCCAGUCUAUUUUGAGCUGCAACCAUUCUUCUUUUGGGAACGCUUAUUAUGCCUAGGAAUUUCCCUUUAUAUGCUUCAAAAGGAACAGUAUGCCUUCCUUUAGGGCAGCAUCUUUCUCAUAUAGCUGUUAUAUUAAUGCUCAACUUGGGGGUGCUGGAACAGUUGCUAGGUUUCCCAAGGUGAUAUCUGGAGUAAACUUCAAAGGAGGAGCUAAAUUGACUUCAUUCCCUUAAAGCUUUUCUAUCAUUGUUUAUACAUUAAUUGCAUAUGUGCUUUCAAAAUAGGAGAACCUAACUGUAGUAAAUUAAGAAAAUUUUUCUUUGGACACUUAAAGGACUUCUCAUUAUUUGGCUAACCUUUCUAUCUGGUGUUUCUCUCUUCAAGGGAAUUACUCAAUCCCAAGUGAAUAUGAGCAGGACAUUCUCGAAAGGGAUGAUUCAGAGAAUGUGCAAGAAGAGAUUUUAUCCAGGCAAGUCUCUGAGAAACAGCAUGGGCAAGGCUGUUCCUUUGGUCAACCACAGGUUAAAACAGCUGAUGCACCAGGAGGCUUUGAGAUCCUCCAAGAUCUCAUCCCCACAACUGGAACUUCUUUGGAAUUAGAACCAUCUAAUUACACUAAAAGUGAAGAGGCCACCCAAGAAAGUGCAAGCCUUAAUACCCAAGCCGAGAUCUUACCUAUGGCAGAGGAGCUUCAUAAAUGCACUGAAUGCAGAGUUCCAUGUUGCUUUUCAAGCUGUUGGUCCAUCAAACCCAAGAGCAACAGCUCCAGUUUCAAUUGUAAGUCCACUUUAAGAAUCUUUUGAAUAGUACUACAGAUUUGGUUCCAGAAUUUUUUAGCUUUUCCACAAGUCCACCAUAAGAAAGAGAUUAACCUUUAAGUACUUUUAUACCUGUGCUGGAAAAGGUCAGAAGCCACUGGUCCGAUAUACUUUUUUGCUUAUUCCUGCACCAGUUUAGCUUUUCCUGUUUCUUUUUUAGACCUGUAUUCUGUCGGUCUUAUAUUCUGUGUCUUAAUUAUAUCUUGAACAAUUAGUAAUUAAUAAAAAAAGCAAAAAAAAAAAUGCACUGAAUGCAGCAAGAGUUUUAGCUGGUGUUCUGACCUAAUAAAGCCUCAGUGAAUUCACACAGGAGAGAAGCCCUACAUAUGUAGCAAAUGUGGGGAAAAUUUCGCUGUGAGCUCUCACCUUUU